UACAGAGACUGCAAGCGUUAUUCGGAUUCACUGGGCGUAAAGGGUGCGCAGGCGGCCGUGUGUGUGAGGCGUGAAAGCCCGGGGCUCAACCCCGGAAUUGCACCUCAAACUACAUGGCUAGAGCAUUGGAGAGGGUAGCGGAAUUCACGGUGUAGCAGUGAAAUGCGUAGAUAUCGUGAGGAACACCAGAGGCGAAGGCGGCUACCUGGACAAUUGCUGACGCUCAGGCACGAAAGCGUGGGGAUCAAACAGG
rnacentral:rRNA from 1 species